GAUGACCCAUAGUACCCCAUUCCUUGCUGCAAUGUAAUUAUAUUUAAUUACAAGUGUGCCCCUGGUAGUCUUUAACUGAAGGGCACUGACUGGGUCACUGGUGAAGUUCCCCGCAGGAACUGAGUCAGACCCCAUCUCAGGGCCCUGCACAAGAUAGGUGCCUGCUCUAAGGCGUGGACCCUCGCCACAGCCCUGGCCCGUCUUGACGGGCGAGGGUUACUGUACUUGUCCCAACCGUACAGAUGAGAAAGCUGAGACUCAGGGCCAGCAACCCGGGUCCCAGCGGAGCGCCCGGCACACGCCGACACUUCAGCACCAGUGGCGGUGGCCACCACUGUGGGCGGAGAUGGCUGCGACGCGUGCGCAGAAUCUGGACCCGAAUCCACCCAUUGCCCGUUUUCCGCUGCCGCUGGAGAGAAUCUCUGAGGUCCCCAGGAGAGCCUGCCUGCACGGAAGAGACGCCUCCUCGGGAAAUUUGUGCACAGAGAUAACACAGGGGAUAUGCCAUAUGAAGAUGAAGGCAGAAUUCUACAAGCCCAGGGAUGCCAAAGAUUGCCAGCAAACCACCAGAAGCUAGGAGAGAAGUGUGGAUUAGAUUCUUCCUCACAGCCCUCAGAAGGAUCCAGCCCUGCCAAGAACUUGAUCUCAGACUUCUAGUCUCCAGAACUGUGAGACAGUGCAUUUUGUUUUGUAAGUCAGCCAUAUGGUUUGUGGCA
rnacentral:lncRNA from 1 species